GUACGCUUACCCGGGGGCGGGCAAGACGCAGCCGAUCAAUCGACAUGAAGACACAUGCAUGCUCGUCGUGCUUCUUCUGGAAUGCACCAACUGUGCAAGAGACAACGCGCCUGACUGAGUGCGGCGAACAAUUCACGGAACGAGCACAGGUGGGCGUCCGUGGGAGGCAUGAAGGAUGCAGAUUGCGUGCUAUGAAACUGACUGAUAGCCGCAAGGAACGACGGGACACACUCGAGUGCAGCCAGCACACUGCAAGGCACACAUGAUGCUGAUGCUGCUGCAACACAUCCGCCUCUGAGGGGAGGCGAAACAGUGGAGGACAGCGCCUUGCUGUGGCCGAAAGUUGAAUUGCAAGCAGUUAAGGACGCACAUUUUAAUAGACAACCCAUCCAAUUCUAAUAUUUUAGUCUUUUACAACACUUAUAAAUAAGUCUUAAAGUGUAUUAGAACAAUUUUAUUGCUAGAAUUUGUACAGUUUAAAAGUACUUUUUCUAAGCCUUCCUGGGAAGACACUGCUUUGUGUGACUGUAGCUUCAAUGCUAAUGCAUACUUGCCAAC